rnacentral:rRNA from 1 species
UCGGGAAUAUUGGGCAAUGGAGGAAACUCUGACCCAGCAACGCCGCGUGAAGGAAUAGAAGGUCUUCGGAUUGUAAACUUCUGUCGCGAGGGACGAAGAAUGACGGUACCUCGUAAGAAAGCCCCGGCUAACUACGUGCCAGCAGCCGCGGUAAUACGUAGGGGGCAAGCGUUGUCCGGAAUGACUGGGCGUAAAGGGAGUGUAGGUGGCAUAAUAAGUUAUAUGUGAAAGCCCGCGGCUUAACUGCGGAACUGCAUAUAAAACUGUUAAGCUUGAGUGCAGGAGAGGUAAGCGGAAUUCCUAGUGUAGCGGUGGAAUGCGUAGAUAUUAGGAAGAACACCAGAGGCGAAGGCGGCUUACUGGACUGUAACUGACACUGAGGCUCGAAAGCGUGGGGAGCAAACAGG